CACUCCUACGGGAGGCAGCAGUGGGGAAUAUUGGACAAUGGGCGCAAGCCUGAUCCAGCCAUGCCGCGUGAGUGAUGAAGGCCCUAGGGUUGUAAAGCUCUUUCACCGGUGAAGAUAAUGACGGUAACCGGAGAAGAAGCCCCGGCUAACUUCGUGCCAGCAGCCGCGGUAAUACGAAGGGGGCUAGCGUUGUUCGGAUUUACUGGGCGUAAAGCGCACGUAGGCGGACUAUUAAGUCAGGGGUGAAAUCCCGGGGCUCAACCCCGGAACUGCCUUUGAUACUGGUAGUCUUGAGUUCGAGAGAGGUGAGUGGAAUUCCGAGUGUAGAGGUGAAAUUCGUAGAUAUUCGGAGGAACACCAGUGGCGAAGGCGGCUCACUGGCUCGAUACUGACGCUGAGGUGUGAAAGCGUGGGGAGCAAACAGGAUUAGAAACCCGGGUAGUCCCA
rnacentral:rRNA from 1 species